GGGAGGUAGUGACAAUAAAUAACAAUACGGGGUUCUUUCGGGUUUCGUAAUUGGAAUGAGUACAAUUUAAAUCUCUUAACGAGGAACAAUUGGAGGGCAAGUCUGGUGCCAGCAGCCGCGGUAAUUCCAGCUCCAAUAGCGUAUAUUAAAGUUGUUGCAGUUAAAAAGCUCGUAGUUGAAUUUCGGGAUCAAUACGUCGGUCGUGCUUUUUUGGUACGCACUGGCGUCAUUGGUUUCUCCUUUCUGACGAACCAUGAUGUCAUUAAUUUGGUGUUAUGGGGAGUUAGGACUGUUACUUUGAAAAAUUAGAGUGUUUAAAGCAGGCACACGCUUGAAUACAUUAGCAUGGAAUAAUGAAAUAGGACGUUCGAUUCUAUUUUGUUGGUUUCUAGGAUCAACGUAAUGAUUAAUAGGGAUAGUUGGG
rnacentral:rRNA from 1 species